ACUCCUACGGGAGGCAGCAGUGGGGAAUAUUGCACAAUGGGGGCAACCCUGAUCCAGCCAUGCCGCGUGAGUGAAGAAGGCCCUAGGGUCGUAAAGCUCUUUCAACUGUGAAGAUAAUGACGGUAGCAGUAGAAGAAACCCCGGCUAACUCCGUGCCAGCAGCCGCGGUAAUACGGAGGGGUUAGCGUUGUUCGGAAUUACUGGGCGUAAAGCGCACGUAGGCGGACUAUUAAGUUAGAGGUGAAAUCCCAGGGCUCAACCCUGGAACUGCCUUUAAUACUGGUAGUCUUGAGUUCGAGAGAGGUGAGUGGAAUUCCGAGUGUAGAGGUGAAAUUCGUAGAUAUUCGGAGGAACACCAGUGGCGAAGGCGGCUCACUGGCUCGAUACUGACGCUGAGGUGCGAAAGUGUGGGGAGCAAACAGGAUUAGAUACCCUGGUAGGUGA
rnacentral:rRNA from 1 species